AAAACUGGCUCCGCAGAAUUGUAGAGAUGGUCCAAAUGUGGCCUGAUGAGAAAAAAGAGGGUCCAGAAAAAAAGGGAAGAAGGGGGAGGUGGGGGACCACAUCUACUUGUGCCUAUAUAUAUACAUAUAUAUGCUGUAUCCUCCCACGGCUCUUCAAUUUUUGCAGAGAGGCCAACAAUGUGCCGGCUGCGAUAAUCUUACGGUGCACCCUCUAGCAGUUGAAGCUGCCAGCAUGAUCUGAGCUUCCCUUCUCAUGUGGCCGCAACAGAUCAUGCGGCAGUUUCACCUGUUGAACGGAAGCAUCCCAACCCUAAUUAAUUCGCUUUCUCCUAUCUGCUCUCACAAACCCUAUAAAAGAUCUACGGAAUACUAUUGCGUGUGCCGCUUUAGAUUGAAUUUUCCAUUACUCCCACGCCCACUUUCCACCAAGAACUCGUCAAUGCGCUGGCCUUCGUCUUUGGGUAAUUUAUUUAGUCCGUUUUCUGGAUUUCACUGGUCAGCGCGGAAUAAGCUAUUGCUUUUUUAGUCCAUUGAUUGAUUGAUUUCUGGUGGAGUUAUAUACGCAUUACAAAUGCACGCACGCUAUCAUUUCUGGUGGAGUUAUGUGAGCAGCGCUUGCUGUAGAUCUAUUGAUAACCGUCCCAGCUGGGACGACAUUAAAACGUGUAGGGGAUUUAUGAUGCGAUAUAGAUUGAACAGACUUGCAAUUUACUACUUUUCUGCAGGAAGCGUGCCAGAAACUCCGGUUUCUUUCUUCGGGGUGACAGGGGCCGGCAUAAAAUUUUAACUGAGGAGGCAAUGAAUUUAAUUAUAAAUUAAAAUAACAGGGCUUGUUUGAUUCUAUUGUUUUUUUUAUUUCCAGGAUAAUUUUAUAGAAUAAGUUUUUAUAACAAAUUUUGGAAAUGAAAAAACUGUUUAAAUCAUUAUUUUUAAAAAAUAUAUUUAAAAUGAUGGAAUAAAAGGUGAAACGAUUAUUUAUUUUAUUAACGUAAUUCAUGAUAUUUUCUAAUUUUUUUUCUGUAUACUUGUUAGUUAAAAAAAAAAAAAAAAACCGUUCAUCCUGAACAAACAACAGCAACGGAAUGAUCUGGGGACAUCUUGAAUCAGUCAAUGACCAUUUAGUUGAAAUUAAUGGUUCAUUUAGGUCCUGAACUCGAAGAGAGUUAAUUAAGGCUAUACAGUGGGAGAAGUUUCCAUGGAGCCAAGCCCUACGUUUAGGUAGGCUUCAUAUACAUAGAGCAUUGUUUUGUGGGAAAGAAAUCUAAUUGCGAAAAAAGAAUAAUUAAGGUUGUUGGAUGGGAGCGAUGAACCCCUUACAAGCGGAUCAUCCGUCUUAUAAUUAGUGAGUUUCGUGGGCGGUGGAAAGUGACAUGAACCCCGUAAUUGAAGGAUGCCAUUAAUUGAUUUUUUUCUUUUUAAGAUCUUGAACUUGAUAUAAUAUAAAUCAGCAACUAAAUUACAUAAACAACGAUUUGUUCUAAAAUUAGUAUAACCCCGUGCACAAUUUACAUUAUAUUGUUGGAGGUUUUAAAUUCUUUCCAUGUGAUCAAAAAAGGAGUUUAAAGAAUUUAAAAAAAUAUGUUAUCAAACUACAGUAGCUAGGGACGCUUACAUAAUGUCUAUAGAUGUUGAUAUUAAUAUUGACGAAUGAAUAACACUUAUUUUUAUGGCAUUCAAAUUAAAAUUCUGCACAAAUAUGUGAAUAUAUGUGUGUGCGUAUUUGAAUAAAAUAUUAAAAACAGAAAGACACAAAAUUUAAUAUUGAUAAAAUCAUGUUAUAUUAUAUAAUGUUGAUUUUGAUUAUGAAUCAUGCAAACAGUUGUAUAUUGUCUGUGAUUUAUAUCGUGACAUUUAUAAAUUAAAUAUUAUAUCAUAUGUUAUAUGAUUUAUCCGUGUUAUAGUAAUAUAUAGAUAUAUGUUCAUAAAAAUAUGUAGAUAUUGAUUCCAUAACGGCCGGUCCCUGCAAUUUGAUGUUUAUCUUGCAAGGUUAGAACGAGUCAUCGUACUCGCGACUUCAAAAAAUUAUAGCAUAGAGCAGCUAAUUGUUAGGUUUUAUAUUUUACAUUCAAUAUUGACUUUGACCGCGGUUAUAACCAACUAGUCAUAUAAGUUUUUACAAUUUCACUUAAUUUUAAAUUAA